UUAAAUAUUUGGGUGCUUCAUUUUCUUUAAUUAAAGAACCACUAAACACUGGGCCUCUACUUGUGUGUUCUUGUGUUGAGGCUAACCGGGGAAAUAAUAGUAAUAAUACAAAUAAUAAUCUACCACUUCUGAGUAGACUCAAUGUAGAGGAAACGCUUCAUAUGGAUCAAUGUGUUGGAGUUCUGUUGACUGUAGACUAGUAAGUAUACUACAAAGGAAUUGAAUGACCAACCGUCGCCCCUCUCAGCCGGCCUUAAAAACAUACUAAGUGUGGAAAUAUAUAUAUAUAUAGCCUACCAUGUGUCUAUGUGUGUUUGUGUUAACCUAUAGGUAUUAUUACAACUUUACCAUAUAGUAUUUCAUUUGUAUUCAUACACUGCAAUGGAAAGAGUUAAUUGAAUAUACCAGCCUAUAAAUACAACUAAAUACAGACAUUUCUUUAGUUUCUUUCAAAACAAGUCAUCUUUUUCUAUAUUUGUUAUGUUACCACGCUAAAACCAUUGCUAUUGGCUGUCUCCCCACGUUGCUUUGAACAUGAUUGGAUAAUCUGCCUGUCACUCAGAGAACUGGCCAAUGAGAAAUGUCCGCGCCGCGGAUUUGAAAUUACGUCUGUUUGAGCGGGAAGCCGCAGCGGGGCAGGCGCUACUCGGCAGGUCUGCUAGUGUCUGCUGUUGACCUACCUGCAUUAUUACCUGAAGUAUUUUACAUAUGCCUGCGAUUUUAACUUGUGGGAUGUCAACGGAGAAAGAAAGACUGGGACACAGAGGAAGGAUCAUACGGGAUGUGGUGACCAGCAAAGUUACGUGAAUUGAUAUCCUGCAAAAUUAUUGAAGAUAUCAGCACUGGACCCUGAGCAGUGCAUGGCCUGCAAGAUCAUGAGAAGGCUGAAGAACCAGGAGUGACAAGAUACCACUGGAUGGUGGGGCACAUAAUUCCACUCAGGGACAGUGAUCUGAAAAUGUCUGUUUACCAACGGUCCCCAUCCAACCUGACAGAGCGUGUGAGGAUCUGCAGAAAAGAAUGGCAGAACAUCCCCAAAUCCAGGGUAUUGAGUGUAGAUUGAUGAGCUCAAUAAGGAUUGGAACAACAUUGACGGGGGGAAACACCCAAAGUCCAUCACUCAUGCACCGAGGAUCUGGCUGAUUACUGGAAAUUUGGAAGAUUGUUCUUUAUCUGCACUGUCACUUCUGGUAAAUAUUUAUGAAGAAGAAAUAUACUUUAUUAAUCCCCAAGGGGAAAUUAGUUCUCUGCAUUUAACCCAUCCUUAGUUAUUAAGGAGCAGUGGGCUGCAGUGAUGCGCCCAGGAAGCAACUGGGGGUUCAGUGCCUUGCUCAAGGACACUUCGACUUGCAACUAAUGGGGAGAGCCGGGAUCGAACCGACAACCUUGGGGUUGCAGGACGGCCCUCUUACCCCACUGAGCUACAGCCGCCCACAAUUAUGGACCUUUUGUGUGUGGAAGGAAGAGAAAGAAGGACAAAAAGAAUGGAACAAAUGAAGGAAGGAAGGUUAAAAAGAAUGUAAGGAAGGAAAAAACAAUGGAAGAAAGGAAAGAA